ensembl:lncRNA
CCCGGAGCUGCCCGAGCCGGACCGGGCCGGGCCGGGGCCGCCGCACAGCGCAGCGAGGAGCUCUCCCCGCUAAGUGCCAUUUGCGUUUGGCUGCCUCGCACCGCCCGUCUCUCUUCUCUUCUUUCCUUCCCCCCUUCCUCCCCCUUUUGUCUCUCUUCUAUUUCUCUUUUUGCCCUCUUUCCCCCAUUCUCCCCCCCCCCCUUUUUUUCCCUCCGCAUCCCAUCUCUCAUAGUUCUGGGUCCAGCAGCUCUCGCCGAUCCGAAGUUGUUUUGCUCCGACAAGCACCUAGAGGUUAAUUUCUUGAAGUGCCCCAUGAAAAGCGAUUAGCCUGGCUCCCGAGAAGUAUUUUCUAAUUACGUGCAAGCCCUCGCUCUGCUGCUACCCCAUAAUUAAACCUCUUCAAGUCACCACGCGCGGGGCAGCACCUCAGGGUUCCAGCACCGCUUUUUCUCGCCGGGCUGCGGGAUCUCCGCCAGCGGCUGCCCGGCGCGCAGGGCUUUAUCCUGGGGAGAAAAUCACUGCGGGGCACUGGGAGAGGCGCUUUAAGAACAGGGGUUGGGGCCGCCCGUUCCCGGUCCCCGUUCUCCUCGCAGUUCAACCCCGUAUAUUCUAACGGGGCUCACGUAGGGGUCACCCCUUUAAAGAAAUCCUUUUCUUCCCUUCCUGCUCCCCGUUUCCUCCCUCUGACAUCCGGUGUUGGGGGCUGAGGGCUGAGGACAGGGCACAGCGCGCCGCCUCCCGUCCCCUCGGCCGCCCGAGGUCCCCACUGAAAUUCGGGGUGGGCGAAGCGACCGCAGCCCCCUCGGAACCCCGGCAGCUUUCCUGGGAGCGGCGGCGGCGGGCAGAGCCCGGCCUCUCGGCUGCCCUUCCCCUCCGCAGCCGGGUUUUCACCGUAUUAUCGACAAUUAAAAAUAGAUUUUUAUUAUUAUUGUUGUUGAAAAUCACCACAUCUGUCAGGUUGCUCCCGUGCCAGGCGCGAUGCGACACAUCCAGAGCGACUGGUGCUUCCGAGCAGGGCCGGGCCGGGUUGUCGGUGGCAUCUCCCCAGCAGCGUUACAGAGAUUUUCCCAUGGCCGCGGGUAAGGGCUCGGCUGCCGCUGACUCGCGGGACGCCGCCGGCUUUAUCCCAGCCGUUCCCCGGGGAGCGAACGAAUGAGGCCCGGUGGCAGCGUCCCGGCUCGGGAUGGGGCCGACGGGCACCGCCGCGAUUCCACCCACGGGCGGGGGACGGACCCCCCCCGGGGCGGAGGAGCGGGAGGGGAG